AGUUGACACACCGGUUCCCAUAUGAUCACCAAAGUUAAGCAAAAUCGUGCCUGGUCAGAGCCUAGAUGGGUGACUGCUUGAGAAUAUUCGGUGAUGUA